CAGCUAGGGCUAGAAAACAGUUCAGCACUAGAAAGGGAAACAAGGCAUUACCUGGCAACUCAUCAUUUCUGUCUUACACAUUCUGCUUUAAACUUUAAAAAAAGCCCUGGUUCUCCUACAGUCGUGGUACCCCCAAUGUGCCAGUCCGUGGCAUCCAAACAGAUAUACAGACGGAAGAAAAGAAAGGGGAAGGAGACAUCAGCCACCACUCAAGGAGCAGCAAGAUGCCAGCAGAUCGGAAGCAAGAGACUAUGGAUUCAUUCCAAGUUAAGAUGGAUCAGAUUUGAUCAAGAGAGACCUCCUGAACUUUAACAGAUGGUACCUACCAACAAAGGUUAUAGCUGGUUUUCCCAGGACUUGACCAUUAUCUCAUGUUUUCUCAGGAUCCCCAUAAGACUGCCAGUGUCCCCAAGCAGCAGGAAGUAGCCUAGAACACUAUGCUUACUUUCCCAAAAAAUAGAUUAUGGAUGUUUAUUUUUGUUUAGGAGGUUGGUUACAAAUUGUUACUGGUCAUAGUCAAUCUCUUUCUAAAAGAAAAGAGGGGGAUAUGAUAUAGAUAUGAUAGGAUAAAAUGGUAGAUUAUUGAAUCUACUUUUAAAGAACAACCAUUUGUUUGAAAUAUUUUAUAAUCCUAUGGAUUUUGGUUUAUUGAUACAAAUUUAAAGUUAAUUUUGUUAUACUGUAUAUAUAUUUCUACUCUUGUUUAAGGUAUUAUGUUUAUGCAACUAAUUUAAAUUGUAAUAUAUAAUUAAGAAAUACAGAUUAAUAGUCGUCUAUGAUAAUCAAACUUAUAGUCAUGUUAGUUAAGUUUUCUAGGUAUAUGUAGAUUUAUUUCAUUUAGGUAGAUAACUUUCAAACAUUUCAAAGAUCUACAGAAUAUGGCAUUUAAAAUGUUUUAAAUACUUAGACUUUUCUGGACAAUGAGACAUAUCUGUACCUGGCAGCACCAAUCUACUUCAGAGAGGAGGAUGGUUACUGAAGACACUCCAUAUGGAGUUUGCUUUCUUUAUUGGCAAAAAUAGCCAUUUGGGCAAGAAACUGCUCUUACUUGGACUGCUUGAUAAUAUGUUGUAUAAACUGGACAUAUAGGAACCAUAGGAAAAUGACCACUGAAUUUGCUAAAACAAGGUGAAAUGGUUCCUGCUUUUCAGAGGAGAUUGCCAGACAUUCUACAGGACACAGGGAAAAGUCACUGAGAGACUCUAGGCCUAUAGGCUAAAGUUGGAUGCCCUAACUUUGCAGAGGAACUUUGGGUGACUGUCCAGGUGCCAGAUGUCUCUGUCAUUCUAGAUUUUUGGAAGUUGCUUACAAAGCACUUCCUGUUUACUUAGGUAAUAUUAUAUCCUUCUGGGGUCUUUGAUAUAGUUGAAGAAUAGAUAGUUAUAAUUUUCCUUGGUUAUGAUAAAAGAUAAUUUAGAUAUGAAACCUUAGACUCACAAAUAUAGGAUAGAUAAAAUACUUUCUUUAAUUUUGCCAAAUAAAAAUAGACUAGAUAUUAUAACUGUAAUUUCUGCUUGAUAACUGUUCUAUUAUAUAUAAUUUUACUAUGUUAAAGUUAAAACCUUCCUUUUUGAUUAGACAGGAAAGGGGAAGUGCUGUGGGAUGUCUUUCUGUAUGCUGUGUAUAUGUGUUGCUCAGAUUGGUUGAUCAAUAUAGCUGCAUUGGCCUAUGACAAGGCAGCUUAGAAGCAGGUGGGAAAUCCAAGCAGAUAUACAGAGAGAAGAAAGGAAAGGGGAGGGAGACACCAACCGCCACUCAAGGAGCAGCAAGAUGCCAGCAGACCAGUAAUGCCAUGGCCAUGUAGCAACUUAUAGAUUAAUGGAAAUGGGUUAAGUUACGAGAGCUAGUUAGCAAGAAGCCUGCCAUAGGCCAUGCAAUUGGUAAUUAAUAUAAGCGUCUGAAUGAUAAUUUUAUAAGUGGCCACAGGACCACAGGGCCAGGUGGACCAGAGAAACAUGGGACCUUGGGGCUGGGUAGGACCAAAGAAAACUUAUGGUUACAGAUAUGUAUCCUUUAUGUAAUAAAAACUGAACACUGGAAUAAACUCUAAAUCCUCUCAUUAAAAGGAUGUUAAAAGAGUUCUUAGGUCC